GGAAUUGCUGGAGAACGACCAGGGAUGAACGGCAGAAUAUGGCUUGGAUGAACGACGGUUUAAUCGUAAAAUAUGGAUACAUGAGGGACGUGGGUUUUAUGGAAAUGACGUGUAUGGAGGUUUUAAUGAAUAUAGAGUUUCCAAAAUUUAAAAUACAUGAAUUUAGGGAAGGCAGUUAUUAAAUAAUUUUAAAAUAAUUAAUAAAUGAAAAAAAAAAUCUGAUUAGUGAAAUAUUAAACUUCCAC
rnacentral:lncRNA from 1 species